AGUUGGUGGUUGCCUGUAAUUGAUUUGAAGUCAUUUUUUUCUCUUGGUGAAGGGAUGCUUGCUU
rnacentral:tRNA from 1 species